GGCUGCUGGGCCGGCCCUGCCCGGCCCCUCAUGGUUGUCCGGGCUCCGGCUGCCACGGUCAGAUGUGAUGCGUGUCGCCCUGCCUUUCCUGCCUGCAGAGUUUACCCACCUGGGAGAGCGAGAACAAGAUCCACUGCACACAGACCCUCCUGGAGGGCGACGGCCCCAAAACCUACUGGACCCGAGAGCUGGCCAACGACGAGCUCAUCCUGACCUUCGGCGCCGACGACGUGGUCUGCACGAGGAUUUAUGUUCGGGAGUGAAGGCGGCGCCCGCUCCUGCCUCCUGCGUGGACAGCGCGAUGCAUGUCCCCUCUCUUCCCCCCACCCCCGUCCGAGGAAUGUCAUAGGUCCGAGCCGCCGUCCCCUCGCCGUGUCAGCGUCAGGCGGCCCCCUCUCCCCCUGCCCCAGCUGUAGUGGUCCCCCCAGGCCUCCGCCCGGCCUGUCCCUGGUGCUCCAUAGUUUGGCAUCUGCACGGUUUCAUCAUCAUUAAACUGGUUGCACACAUCUCAA